GAUAAACGCUGGCGGCGUGCCUAACACAUGCAAGUCGAACGAUCCCGCAAGGGAGAGUGGCGGAAGGGUGAGUAACACGUGGGAAUCUACCUCCUCGCAGGGAACAACCUCUCGAAAGAGAGGCUAAUACCCAAAGGGUCAGAAAUGAUCAGAGUCGAAAGGCGUGAGGAGAGGAGCCCGCGGCCCAUCAGCUAGUUGGUGAGGUAAUGGCUUACCAAGGCUACGACGGGUAGGGGAUCUGAGAGGAUGUCCCCCACACUGGAACUGAAACACGGUCCAGACGCCUACGGGUGGCAGCAGUGAGGAAUACUGGACAAUGGGCGAAAGCCCGAUCCAGCAACGCCGCGUGGAGGAUGAAGGCCUUCGGUC
rnacentral:rRNA from 1 species